GGUUAAGCGACUAAGCGUACACGGUGGAUGCCUAGGCAAUCAGAGGCGAUGAAGGACGUGCUAAUCUGCGAUAAGCGUCGGUAAGGUGAUAUGAACCGUUACAACCGACGAUUUCCGAAUGGGGAAACCCAGUGCAAUUCGUUGCACUAUCGUUUGAUGAAUACAUAGUCAAACGAAGCGAACCGGGGGAACUGAAACAUCUCAGUACCCCGAGGAAAAGAAAUCAACCGAGAUUCCCCUAGUAGCGGCGAGCGAACGGGGAGCAGCCCAGAGUCUUAAUCAGCAUUAGCAUCAGGAGAACGGUCUGGAAAGUCCGGCAGUAAAGGGUGAUAGCCCCGUAUCCGAAGGUGUUAGUGUUGUGAACUCGACGAGUAGGGCGGGACACGUGUUAUCCUGUCUGAAUAUGGGGGGACCAUCC
rnacentral:rRNA from 1 species